CCUACACGUGUGGAGAGCAUAGGCGCGGAAUGGAAAGCCGCGUGCAAGCGAGGUAGGAGUCCUGAAGGAAAAACCGCAGGGCAAUCCGAAGGCGUGAUGCGGACCGAAAUCUAGUAGGGAAGUAUGUGAGCCAUGCGUCAAGAAAAGCCGCUAUUGUUCUUAUUGUACCCGUACCGUAAACCGACACAGGUGGAUGAGGAGAGAAUCCUAAGGCCGACGGAAGAAGCAUGGUUAAGGAACUCGGCAAAAUGACCCCGUAACUUCGGGAGAAGGGGUGCCACAGAAAUGUGGCCGCAGAGAAUAGGCUCAAGCAACUGUUUAGCAAAAACACAGGUCUAUGCAAAACCGAAAGGUGAGGUAUAUGGGCUGACGCCUGCCCGGUGCUGGAAGGUUAAGAGGAGAGGUUAGCGCAAGCGAAGCUUUGAAUUGAAGCCCCAGUAAACGGCGGCCGUAACUAUAACGGUCCUAAGGUAGCGAAAUUCCUUGUCGGGUAAGUUCCGACCCGCACGAAAGGCGUAAUGAUUUGGGCGCUGUCUCGACAAUGCAUCCGGUGAAAUUGAAGUACCAGUGAAGAUGCUGGUUACCUGCGCCAGGACGGAAAGACCCCAUGGAGCUUUACUCCAGCUUGAUACUGGGAUUCGGUAUUGCAUGUACAGGAUAGGUGGGAGGCUGAGAAUCGGUAACGCCAGUUGCCGAGGAGCCAUUGUUGGGAUACCACCCUUGCAGUACUGGGUUUCUAACCAGCAGCCGUGACCCGGCUGGGGGACAAUGUCAGGUGGGGAGUUUGACUGGGGCGGUCGCCUCCGAAAGGGUAUCGGAGGCGCUCAAAGGUUCCCUCAGAAUGGUUGGAAACCAUUCGAAGAGUGCAAAGGCAGAAGGGAGCUUGACUGCGACACCGACGGGUGGAGCAGGUACGAAAGUAGGACUUAGUGAUCCGGUGGUAUUAAGUGGGAAUGCCAUCGCUCAACGGAUAAAAGCUACCCUGGGAUAACAUGCUUAUCACUCCCAAGAGUUCACAUCGACGGAGUGGUUUGGCACCUCGAUGUCGGCUCAUCGCAUCCUGGGGCUGUAGUAGGUCCCAAGGGUUGGGCUGUUCGCCCAUUAAAGCGGUACGCGAGCUGGGUUCAGAACGUCGUGAGACAGUUCGGUCCCUAUCCGGCGUGGGCGUAGGAUAUCUGAGAGGAGCUGUCCUUAGUACGAGAGGACCGGGAUGGACGGACCGCUGGUGUACCUGUUGCAGUGCCAGCUGCAUGGCAGGGUAGCCAAGUCCGGAAGGGAUAAACGCUGAAGGCAUCUAAGCGUGAAGCCCCCCUCAAGAUGAGAUAUCCCAUUCGAAAGAAGUAAGACCCCUUGAAGACGACGAGGUAGAUAGGGCAGAGGUGGAAGUGCAGUAAUGUAUGGAGCUGACUGUUACUAAUCGGUCGAGGGUUUGAUC
rnacentral:rRNA from 1 species